GGGAAUUUGGAGGGGCAGAGGAACAAAACAAACUCAUUCAAAGUGAUUUGGAUUUAUCAGGAUUGCAGGCAGCAUUUUCAUCAGGCUGUUCUGAGGAGGACAUUGUGUACUGGGAGCUGGAUGUAUUUUGAGAAAGAGACACCACUACAAAAAACUCCGAGUUUAAAUUGCAAAGAUGGAUGAAGUAAAAAUGAGGGAUGGUUAUUUUGCUUUUUACAGAUGGGAGCUGAAGCAGGGAAGGUGAGUGUUGUGGCCAAAGUCACCCUGGGAGUCCGUGGAAUUGCAUCCUGAUCUUUGAAGUGCAGUUCCAGUAUUUUACCAUAUAUUGUCUUCUGUUCCCUUGCUGCUGAAUGUGGAUUUGAUAUGCACAUGUGUAAUGAGCCAAGCAUGUUCUGCAUAUGUUUAGCCAAAUUGUGACCUCAGGGACAUAAGGGGAGCACUCCCUGGUCUGGUCAGGAGGGCUUCCAUGGCUGGGCUCAUCCAAGGACUGCAAAGCAGUGUUGGCAUUUAUGAAAUUAAAGUUUGGUGUUUUAGCAUCUCUGGGUUCUGGAGAGGCCUGGCAGGGCAGUGGGUGAUGCUGCAUUGCUGAUUGUGUGACCCCUUGUACUGUCUGGGCACCAGAUGCUGCUUAAUGAUUAGUGUGUAACAAAUUAAUAAAUCAAUGCACAGAUAAAUAAACAUCCAUUGCAGGGGCCUCUCAAAUCUCUCUCCUCUGGGGGAGAAGGGAGACCUGCAGGCAUUACAUUCUUCACUGGACACAAAUGCCUCUAGACUCUGUGCUAUCCUGACACCUUGCAGAGGGAAUGUGUACUUGAGAUUAAUUAUAUUCCAUAGGUGGUUCAAUAUGUGGUGGAAAAAACCUGACAUUUUUGGCUUAGUUUUGCUGUGUGCAGACGUUCUUGCAGAGAAGGAUGAGUGGUCAGCACAGUCAAAGUGGGCUCAGGAGGAACAAGUCCUGCCCUGAAGGGCUUUAUCCACAGGGUCUCAUUGCAGACAAUACCUUUGAAGUCUAAAGAUAAGAUCUUAUUGCCCAAGCUCCCUCUGUAGCUUUGUGGAGAACAAGGAAUGGUGUAUCAUUUAAAGUCUGAAUUUGGACUGCAGUCCUGAAAAAUAAUGCAUGUGGCACAUCAAACACCAGAGGCUGACCUGAGCCUCUCUCAGCCAAAAUCAGGCAACAAAUUGAGUUACUGUGUUGUCAUCAUUAGGCUGUCAGAAGCACAAAAACUUCUGUGCAUCUGGCCUUGUUUUUCAGGAAUAAAGCAUUUAAAGUUGGUGUGAUAUAUUAUGGAAUGCAGGUAAUUAAUGUCCUUGUAAUAACCAAAGGGAGAAUUCAGACAGAAUUCAGAUGUGGUUUCUGAAUCUGUACAAACACCUACAAAUCCAGAAUGGGACAGGAGAGUAAAUAAAUCCCUGACUGGCCUGACUGAUUUUUCCAUUCUUCUUACAUAAGAAAUGUGUGUAUAUUUCUGUGCUAUGCUUGGUCUAUAAUUUAUGUAUUGCAAUAAAAAAUAUACGUGUGCAUAAUUAGAUGGGACAAUAAAGAAAAGCAGUUGAUGAAAUU